rnacentral:tRNA from 1 species
GUUUCCGUAGUGUAGCGGUUAUCACGUGUGCUUCAUACGUAGAAGGUCCCCGGUUCGAUCCCGGGCGGGAACA